GAUAGGUGGAGCAGGGAAGCAGAUCUGUACAUCACCAGGGACCGGGAAGGAGAAUUUGUAUUUGUGCUUGUAUGUGAGGCUGCACAGGGAUAGCAUGGAGACACAGCGAGAAGCAGGAGAGACAAGCAGAUGCAGAAGUCGCUGGGAAGUGGGAUGAGUGAAGAAAAGCAUCCGUAGAAGGAAGACUCAAUCAAGGAGGAGAAGCCAGUGGGCCAUCAAGUGAGGAUGAUGGCUUCAUGGGUGCCUGUCCAAUGAAAGACUCAGGUGCUUUCCUCAGGUCUGUGCACGGCUUCUUGUGGUUUCACAAGCUGGUCUGCAAAGGUCUCCUGCUGGUCUCUGUCUUUCUUCCUCUGUCUUUUGCAGCCAUGUUCCCCUUGCUCGAGUGUCAACAAACACUGAGGAGACAGAGGACAGGCUGAGACAUCUUGCGUCGUCUUACAGCAUUUUGAAGAUCAGCAUUGCUGAAACCCAGAACCAGAAGUGCUGAAAGCUACCAAAUUCAGGAAAUUAGGCAAAUGCACUGGGGAACACAAGGAGUUGGGACAGAGGAGGCAGAAUAACAACAGAGGGUUUCCUUGGGCUGGCUAACAUGUGAAUUGCACAGCCACAGGGUUCAUCAGCACCCUACUCCCUGGUUUCAGUUUUCAGUUUUUCAGGGUUAGUCCUUCACCAUCCUGUUGAUCUGGUCUGGAUGACAGAGACUCAGAGCAAAAUAGUUAUUCACCAUGACUUGAAAAGGACAGUCCUGCUCUUAAAAACAAUAUUUAUAUUCAAUGGAGACUGUAUCAUGUCUAAAAGCUGUAAGGGCUGGACUCAUGUAAGAUGAAGAUGGUCCUAUGAUUUUAGGCCUUCUUAUAUCUGCAUUUAGUGUACAGCUUCCAUAGCUGUAAUUAACGCAAUUUUCUGCUUGCCAUAGGCUCUUGUCCUUCCAAAAACACAGGGAUACCGUGUCUGGACAACGUCCUUGCUAAGCCAAAGACCUGUUUGCCUGCUGGACCCUAUGCAAUGCCUGUGAGACCAAGAGGAAGAAGACGACAAAGGUGAAAGGCUGUGCUCACCUUCUGGCUGCAGUUGCACCUCUGCCCCUGCUGCACCAUCCUCACUUGCCCACAAAACCCUGGAAUGUGGGGGAGAGCCCUACCAGUCUAUGUGUAAGUGCCAUCAGGAACUUCACUUGAAGGCAUGGACAGGAGUUGAAAACAAACAUUGUCUUCCUCCUAUGCUUCCAUACACUGACACAACUCAAUGGUUUGCAGCUUUUGGGACUUCUACCCUAUGCAUAAAUCCCAUGGGCCAUGCAGGCUCUCUUCCCCCUGCCACACACACUGUGUUGAAAAGUGAAGGACUUGGAGAAAUCGGAAGUGCAAGAAUUCAAGAAGACUGAAACAGCAGGGAUCUGUAAACAGGGUGCAGAUGGGGAGCAGGACAUGGUCUUUCUAAAACGUGUGCAACACAGCUGCCUGAUAGCUGCUGCCAGUGUUAGCCUGGUGGCUUGUCCUCUGCUGACAAAAUGCAUUGCUUGCCACUGGCUGCUGUUGCUUCACCUCAUUUGGUGAGUCCGUGCUCACGGAGGCGAAGGAGGCAAAAAGGGACCCCAGAAAGGUCUGUGGGAGGCCCAACACAGCUAGUAUGAAGUCUGCAGGGGGAAAAUUAAUUCAGCAAAAGUUGUGAAUAAAAGAAAUGGCAUAGUGAGCUUGCACAGGCUUGGCAUUUUUUGGUUUCCGUAGUGUUUGAGAUCCAGGUCUACAAAUCUUCAGUAAAAUCAUAACUUGGGAAGAUGAAGUGGUAAAGGCAUGUCAGUCUCACAUGUGUUGCUUCUCUUCAUUGUUGCUGUUGGAAAUAGAGAAUUACAGCUGUGAAAUUUAGAUGCUGUGAAGGACUGCUAGCCAGCCAGCUGCAGGGUUUCACCUCUGAGAUGAAAUUCUCUUGUAGUGGGAAAGUUUCUCAUUGCUUUGAGUUCUCUUUUGAGUCUCCUGGGAUGAAUACAAAAUGUGAUUAAUUACUGAAAAAGAGCUGCUGCAUCUCUAUUGGAGGUGCUAUUGGUAAAUGGGAAGCUCUGGGAUAUAUAGUCUGCAACUCACAGUAAGAUUUUAAAUAAGAUACUUGGGAAGCUGCAAAAUCAGCAGCCACUGGAAAACCCAUCAUCUCAAUGUUGGAUAUUUGGGAGAGGGUGGAAACCCGGCUUCAAAACCAACACAGCUAGCUUGCUUCUAAACUAUUUAGUUUAAAUCUAGCUCAGUGAGAGCCACACAAGUUGCUCUCUGAAACCUGAAGCCUGUGGAUGAAAUAUUAAAGAACAACUUGUUUCAUAACUAUAAUGAAAAAGGUAGAUGUCCUGAUUCUACUAAUAAUAAUUCUACUAGUAAUUACAGUAGUCAGUCCAUAUAGCUUACCCAUGCCUCAGCUUCCAGCAUAAAAAUAUGAGUGGUAUUCAUGUAUUUCAGGAAAUCCUUGCCAAGAUCAGCAAUUUGAUGUUUAAUGAAUGCUUCAUAUAUCUCAGGUGAAGAAAACACAAUAGAAGGGCAAACCUUAUCAGAAACAGAAUUGUAUUUCUUGAUUUCCAGGCCUGUCUUGCCUCAAGCAAGGGAGAAGUUUGGAUAGCAUAUUUAAUAUGAUUAACCAAGACUGAAGCCACAUGUUUCCUAGACUGGAAGAACUGCUAAAUCAUCAAAUUUUGCCCAGUCAUGUCACUGAAAUUGAUGCCAUACACCUGAAGAAGAUUGCUACACCCAAAUGUUUAUUUUUUCGAUGAUACCAGUUGACCUACUUUUACCUACAAAGGGAGGUACAAUCUGUUCCUAUCAAAGUGUCCUGAGACCAUCUCAGAUGCAUGAACUCUCCUUCUUUCAAACCUGUUUAUAGUGAAGUUAUCUUUUGGGUCCAGCCUGGCACAGAGAUGAAUUCAACAUGUGUCACCCUCUCCUUUCCAGUGGCGUUUCCGUGCCUCAAGAAACACGAUCUCUCACAAUAAGUAAUCCAAACAUUUGAUUUUCUCUGGGAAGUUGUGAUAAGAGCACGGGUGUCAUCCGAAGCACAUAAGGGAGAGCUGCUGAUCAUGGUGCAUGACAGCCCCGCUGCUGAGAAGUCCCAUGGGAGGAAGGAACCUGAGCCUGUGGGACCAGUGCAAAGGACGAAUCCAGCAUCUACCCCUGUGCUCUGACUGCUAAGUAGUUAUUUGCAGCUGAAUCCAGCUCUUCUUAGUAUCUGAAAAAGAGAACUGAAGCUUUGCUAAAGAAAGCCAAGCAACUGGUCUCAGGGGAUAUAAGAUACACUUUCAUUAUUAAUUUGUAUAUUUGCCUUGCUGCGGAUGACAUCUGAAGCUGCAUAGGAGGAAUGUAGCUGGAAGCUUUUUCCAAACAUGUAUUAUUUGGGGUCAUCAGGCUCUGAAAUAAAGCUGAAACCUGGAAGUUGUAGCGAGGGGAGGAGACAUGGAAGCUGUGAUUGAACCUUAACCCCAUGAGUGUGCUCACCAGCUGCUUGGGCUCUGUCCGCGCUGCCCAAAUUGUCUCAUAGAACAGCAUCACGUAGUUAGCUCCAUGACACAGUCAUCUGGAUUCAUGGAGCUUGUAACAUCUUCCUUAACUUUCAGACUAUUGACGUUUUCUAACAAGAAAUCCAAACUGUGACAAGGCAAACAGGCCUUGCGAAAGACAAGCAAAAUGGGAGCUGAUUCAGGCGUCUGUAAUUAGCUAGUGGCUGUGAACAUUUAUGAAAUCUCCCAGCAGUGAUGGCGAAGUGCUGAUUCUAGAGAAGCAGCUGCCCUCUCCCUUGAUGUGUUUAAUCCUCACAGUCCCAGCUGACGUGGCUCCAGUGUUGGAAAACUCUACCCUCUUUCUGGCCUCUGAUCAAAAUCAAUAUUUCAGAGAGAAACACAGAAGAGCAAAGGAGUUAAACAAAAGUUCAGAUAAGCAUAACAAAUGCUGGAAAGAUGAGAUCCUCCAAGCAGAGUGCUCUAGAAAGCACUCAGGUAAAUUUGGGUGAGGUUCUCAUCAAUUGCUGAGUGCAGAAGGAGCUAUUCUUGGACGCAUAAGGAGGUAAGGGAUUUAUUUCCUCAGCUGCAUGGAGUCAUGCUAUGAGAUAUCAUUAAGCAAGAAUAAUUAGUAUUUGAGCUUUCAACACUCAAGAUUUGUAGGUUUCCCUGUGUUUCCAGUCCUUUCCAAAAAGGCCAUUCCUAAGUGGUAGUCAGGAUUUCUGUACCGUUUAAUUAUGUAAUCCUUAUAAGUAAUCUCUUUAAAUCUGUGCAAUAAGUGGCUGUGUUGCUUUCCAUUUGUGCAUCUCUAGAUGUGCUUUGUAAUUAAUAGUUUGGGGUGAUAACAAAAUAAAACAUUGAAGUUUAUUUUAA